GUCGCCGCGAUGCCUUUUCUGAACCACCCAUGACUGCAUUCCAGAGGCCAGACUGGGCAGAGUAAGACAAGCACCCCACGACUCCACAGUGGUGGUCGUUGAGCUGAUGCUGAAAGCCAUCGCUGUGAAUGUACACUGGAUCUUCCCAGCGCUGAAGGAGCCAGAAGCGCCACCGGAUGCCUUGACUUCCGUCCCUCCUUCCUUCAGCAAACAUAUGCUGAUUGGGUGUUCACCGAGGCCAGGCAUACCCUCAACACCAGGAAUACGGAGACCAUCCUUAAUCCAACCAACAUCUACGAUCAUCCCUGAGCAUGAGAGUUCUGCAGAAUGGAGUUUUGGGAAAUGACAUGUUGAACGGUUAUAAUGGCAUUAAAAUUUCCAUCAGAAUACAGAGAAAAGACUGGAAGAAAAAAAUAACAAAAUCUCCUGGGCCAUUGAUCAGUGUUGCUUUCACAGAAGGGUCUUUCUUAGAGCAAAAUUUCUCUGCAAGCAAUGCAUUCUCUGAAUUGUUGGUGACUGGAUUGACAAGAAAAAUGGAGCCAAUAUUGUGGUAAAGCAGCAUCAGAAACAUCCUCCAGGUCCUCGUGAUACAAUGCACUUCAAGAAUAAUGAGGGUGUCAACUCCCCAGUCCACCACCCUAGAGAGAAGAAAGCUUGUUGAGAUUGGAGAGAUACCAUUGGGUGGCAUGGCUUCUGCAUGUGAAAGCACUUUGGUGAGGAGUCUCGCCCAUUCCUUGAAGACAGGAGUCAUAAUUUUGGGGUCUGGCCUGGUUGUUGCUUAUUAUUGUCAUCCUGAUUUUUAAAAACAAUAUUG